GAUGAACGCUGGCGGCGUGCCUAAUACAUGCAAGUCGAGCGAACAGACGAGGAGCUUGCUCCUCUGACGUUAGCGGCGGACGGGUGAGUGACACGUGGAUAACCUACCUAUAAGACUGGGAUAACUUCGGGAAACCGGAGCUAAUACCGGAUAAUAUAUUGAACCGCAUGGUUCAAUAGUGAAAGACGGUUUUGCUGUCACUUAUAGAUGGAUCCGCGCCGCAUUAGCUAGUUGGUAAGGUAACGGCUUACCAAGGCAACGAUGCGUAGCCGACCUGAGAGGGUGAUCGGCCACACUGGAACUGAGACACGGUCCAGACUCCUACGGGAGGCAGCAGUAGGGAAUCUUCCGCAAUGGGCGAAAGCUUGACGGAGCAACGCCGCGUGAGUGAUGAAGGUCUUCGGAUCGUAAAACUCUGUUAUUAGGGAAGAACAAAUGUGUAAGUAACUAUGCACGUCUUGACGGUACCUAAUCAGAAAGCCACGGCUAACUACGUG
rnacentral:rRNA from 1 species